rnacentral:lncRNA from 1 species
GUCCAUGCUCUCUGUAUAGAAGGUACAAAUAGGUGUUUGUUGAAUGAAUUCUCCAUACAUUAGAAGUGGGAGAGAAUGGAGGUGGAGGGAAUAGGUGAGUCUCCUGCAGUUAUCACGGCGAGUGAGGAUGCUGCCCUGUAUGUAGAAUCAGUCGGGAAGUUGAGACGGGAAGUGCCCUGGUUGGAAGGCAGAUAGCACAGAACCCGGGAACAAAGGAAAUGCAUUUACUAAGAGGAGACAGAUCUUGAGUAAAGGGCAACAUCUCUGAAAGCUCCUUCCCAGUUGAGAGUGGAAAGAACUUGGAAAGACACCCUUAGCUCAGGACAGGAGCAGGCACGGUCUUCA